rnacentral:misc_RNA from 1 species
CCGAGUUCGUGCCCCUCGUGGGUAGAUCUCCCACCCUUGUGUAUCUCUGUGUGUGUGUUGCUUUGGCAGGCCGUGGGCCCCCGUGCUCACCACCGGCCCCCGGGCUGGUGCGCGCCUGCCAGAGGACCUUCUCAACUCUGUGUGUCAGUGUCGUCUGAGUAUGAUUGAGAACAAUCGUUA